rnacentral:tRNA from 1 species
GCCUGCGUGGCUCAGUCGGUUGAGCGUCUGACUUCGGCUCAGGUCAUGAUCUCACAGUUCGUGGGUUCGAGCUCCAUGUUGGGCU